AUGAACGCUGGCGGCGUGCCUAAUACAUGCAAGUCGAGCGAACAGACGAGGAGCUUGCUCCUCUGACGUUAGCGGCGGACGGGUGAGUAACACGUGGAUAACCUACCUAUAAGACUGGGAUAACUUCGGGAAACCGGAGCUAAUACCGGAUAAUAUAUUGAACCGCAUGGUUCAAUAGUGAAAGACGGUUUUGCUGUCACUUAUAGAUGGAUCCGCGCCGCAUUAGCUAGUUGGUAAGGUAACGGCUUACCAAGGCAACGAUGCGUAGCCGACCUGAGAGGGUGAUCGGCCACACUGGAACUGAGACACGGUCCAGACUCCUACGGGAGGCAGCAGUAGGGAAUCUUCCGCAAUGGGCGAAAGCCUGACGGAGCAACGCCGCGUGAGUGAUGAAGGUCUUCGGAUCGUAAAACUCUGUUAUUAGGGAAGAACAAAUGUGUAAGUAACUAUGCACGUCUUGACGGUACCUAAUCAGAAAGCCACGGCUAACUACGCG
rnacentral:rRNA from 1 species